AUUGAACGCUGGCGGCAGGCCUAACACAUGCAAGUCGAACGGAGCAGCGGACGGGUGAGUAUUGCCUAGGAAUCUGCCUGUUAGUGGGGGAUAACGUUCGCUAACGGGCACUAUUACCGCAUACUAUCAGAUUAGCCUAUGUCGGAUUAGCUAGUUGGUGGGGUAAAGGCCUACCAAGGCGACGAUCCGUAACUGGUCUGAGAGGAUGAUGAGUCACACUGGAACUGAGACACGGUCCAGACUACUACGGGAGGCAGCAGUGGGGAAUAUUGGACAAUGGGCGAAAGCCUGAUCCAGCCAUGCCGCGUGAGUGAAGAAGGUCUUCGGAUCGUAAAACUCUGUUGGUAGAGAAGCGGUAUCCAACCAGAAAGCAACGGCUAACUACGUGCCAGCAGCCGCGGUAAUAC
rnacentral:rRNA from 1 species